rnacentral:rRNA from 1 species
CUACGGGGCGCUGCAGGCGCGAAACCUUUACAAUGCACGCAAGUGUGAUAAGGGGAUUCCAAGUGCUCAAGCAUUGCUUGGGCUUUUGUUAAGUGUAAAUAGCUUAGCGAAUAAGUGGUGGGAAAGACUGGUGCCAGCCGCCGCGGUAACACCAGCGCCACGAGUGGCAAUCACGUUUAUUGGGCCUAAAGCGUCCGUAGCAGGUUUCAUAAAUCUUUUGUGAAAUUGCCAGGCUCAACUUGGCAGUGUGCAGGAGACACUGUGAAACUCGAGACCGGGAAGGGUAAGAGGUAUUCCUGAGGGAGCGGUAAAAUGCUAUAAUCUCAGGAGGACCACCUGUGGCGAAGGCGUCUUACUAGAACGGAUCUGACUGUGAGGGACGAAAGCUAGGGGAGCAAACCGGAUUAGAUACCCCUGUUGUC